GGUGCGUCCCUGGGGCUGGUAAAAAGGAACCAGAUCAACUACAACUGGAUUUGGUCCCCUUCAACCAGCUGCAGUGGGGCACGCAG
rnacentral:pre_miRNA from 1 species